GUYUUUUUGUUAAAAAUUUAAAGUCGGGCCUGCCCACUGAAAAUUUAAAUGGCCGUGGUAUUUUGACCGUGCUAAGGUAGCAUAAUCAUUAGUUUUUUAAUUGAAAGCUGGAAUGAAGGGUUUGAUAAAAAAAUGACUGUCUCUAUUUAAUUUUAUUAAAAUUUUAUUUUUAAGUUCAAAAGCUUAAUUUUUAUUAAAAGACGAGAAGACCCUAUAGAGUUUAAUAAUAAAAAUUAAUUUUUAUUUUAGAAUUAAUUUAUUUAUUUUUUAAUAUUAUUUAAUUGGGGUGAUUGAAAAAUUUAGUUAACUUUUUUUAUAUUAAAUCAUUAAUUUAUGAAUAUUUGAUCCAAUUUUUUUGAUUAUAAGAUAAAAUUACCUUAGGGAUAACAGCGUAAUUUUUUUAGAAAGUUCAAAUUAAAAAAAAAGAUUGCGACCUCGAUGUUGGAUUAAAAUUAAAUUUUGGUGUAGAAGCUAAAAAAUUUAAGUCUGUUCGACUUUUAAAAUUUUACA
rnacentral:rRNA from 1 species